ACAAGAGCCCGUAGUCGAAUCGCCUUCUUUACAGAGGGUGAAUGUGACGGUCGCAACAAACUAAGUCCACACGACGGCAAGUGUGAAACCGGUUGGAAUAUCGGGCCAGAGAGGGUGAUAGCCCCGUUGCACACUGACGUCUGUAGCGAGUAGACAAAUGAGUCGGAUAGUUUGGGAUUGCUGUCCAAAGAGCGGUGGUACACUCCACCGAAGGCUAAAUACAGGCACGAAACCGAUAGCGAACAAGUACUGUGAAGGAAAGUUGAAAAGGCGUCUGAAAAGACGGUCAAAAGUACGUGAAACUGCCGGCGGGGAAGCGGAGCGAUUGUCUCUCUGCGUUGGCCUUUGGGUCAUAUGCAGGGUGCAAUGGGGCGUCGUCUGUUGAGAAUUGCCGUGUGUCCGUGGGUUCUUUGAAAGAAGCACUCAUGUGUAACCGUCAACCCUCUCGACAAAGGAUGCCCAACAAAAGGUUGAAUGGGCGACUAUAAAGGUAACUCGCCUGUCCAGGAGAGUUAACUUGAAGCGCCCAUUUCAUUGAAUAGACACACAUUUGAGACAGUCGCUCCGACCCGUCUUGAAACACGGACCAAGGAGGCUGAGGCCGCAACGAGUCGUGAGGUGCGAAACCUGACGGCAGAGCGAAAGCGAGAGUGUCAAUGUUUCCUCUUAAGUUAAAAGGGGAAACAGUCAACACUGACCGCUUUACUACCCAUAGCAAAGCGAGCCAAAGUUGCGGCCGCAGGACCCGAAAGAUGGUGAACUAUGCCUGGCCAAGACGAAGCCAGAGGAAACUCUGGUGGAGGUCUGGACAAGUUUUGACGUGCAAAUCAAUUUGGUGAGCUGGGUAUAGGGGCGAUAGACUAAUCGAACCAUCUAGUAGCUGGUUCCCUCUGAAAUUUCCCUCAGGAUCGCUGGAGCGCACUUUUAGAGGCAACUUCGCCGGGUAGAGCAAUGAUUAGAGGCACCGGGACCCAUGGUCUCGGCCUAUUCUCAAACUCCCAACCGGCGAGCAGGCUCCUA
rnacentral:rRNA from 1 species